GUAUCUACAAUGUACCAAUAAAAGUUUGGCUUCAAAAAAACAAAAACAAACAAAAAACCAAGCAAUCUUAGCUCAUAAAAUUUGAAGGUUUAAGUAAGUCUACCAAGCUAUGUGAUAGAGCAAACUUUCCCUAUAAAAUUGGCCUCCAGGGCAGUGGGGGUGGGAGGGGAUGGAAGCUGGUACAGCUUAUUGGAAGCAUGUGAAUGAUUUAGGCCAUUGCUGUGCUUGGUCCUGAGGGACACUCAGCCCCACCUGACACCACUGCCCCAGAGGGUUUCCACUUACUGGGAUGGAAGGGUUUAAACAAGCCAGAAAUUCUGUCCUGGUUUCCUGCACUUGGGUCAUUUUCUUUUUAAAAUCUCAUCUGCCUUACUCUGUAAUGUUAGUCUUAUUGGAAGUAGCACAAUCCCAUUACCAGGGAGAAAUGUAAAUAGUACUCUCAGUCGAACCCUGAAGGCUCUGAAAAACUUCCCCAUCCACGGCCCGGGGAUUUAGCCCAGUGGUUCUGGCGCCUGCCUCGAAAGCUCAAGGUCCAGAGUUCGAUCUCCGGUACCAAAAAACCCCAAACAAUCAAACAAAAAAACCCACUUCCCCAGCCUUAAAAGGCAUCAAGGUGGAAAAACUUCUGGAGAAAAAGACUGAGUAAGGGGCUUCUUGGCACUUCCCUGAGGUUUUAACUUCCUUCCUGAGCUUUAAAUCAUGUCUUCUACAGGGGGGCUGACAAGGAGGGGUUUCCUGUGCCUAAACAAAUAAAGAUUAUGUGCUCUGAGUGCUAAGAGAACCCCCUCCAGGGUGCAGUCAUGGGAGCUGCUUGUUUUCACCCUUUCCAGCCUACCAAGCUUUCCUGCCAGCACAGACUACAACAAUGCUAGCUGCUCUGGCAGGUCCUGGCUGUGUGCUAAAGAACAGAGACACAAUUCGGGAGCCGACCCAGGGGAGCAGGAAACUGCAGCUGAGCCUCUACAAGGCCCUCUGUAUUUCUGCUACAUACCUGGUCUGUGCACGUCCUCCUGGACAGGUCAUAGAUGUAGGUCACUCACCACUAGAGGGCACACAGUUUUUCUCAGUUAAUUUAAAGAGGCUUCCAAAAUCGGCCUGCAAAUGAGUUUUAUCAACAUGAUGACAUUUCCCAUCAACCAUAACAGGUAAAUGGCCAUUUCUCCAGGAUAUUAAGUUGAUGCAGACAUACUGGCUCUGGACAUAAGUACACACACACACACAGAUAUAAAUGUAUGGGAUAAUUCAUAUACAAAUUACACACUAAGUAUAUAUUAUACGUUAAUAAACAUUUGUCACAAUGUCAUUAUUUUAGAUUCAAGCCUGCUAUGUUCUCAAAAGACUUCUUAUUUUCAGGCAGCAGGCAGAUUUUUGAAGUAAAAAGCUAAUUUUGAAGCCAACAUGCUUCCGGAGCACUCACACAAAUUCUAGUGGGCUCCUGCCAAGAUGUGCAGGCCCACAAUAUUCCAAUUCCAUCUUGCUUGUUGUUGGGGGUCCUCGAGUACUUUUGAUUUAAAAGACAGCAAAGGAAAGGAGAAUUUAUUCUGCUAUGAAAAGAAGUGAACACAAGCUAGGUAAUUUCCUUAACCCUCCUUCUUACUGAUCCUUAGGUCCUUCUGAUCAGAAGAUUGGAGAUUUAUACCUGGAGCCCUAAAAAUCCAGCCUCUGAGAAGUCCAACCAUUUUCUGGCUGCAUUAUAUAAGUUUUAGACAAACUUACCCACAUAUUGACAGAAGUUAAAUUACUAUAUACUAUUUUUAUCAACUACUAUCAUAGCAUCAUCCUGUCCAUUAAAAAAAAAAAAAGAAGCCUUAAAAA